rnacentral:RNase_P_RNA from 1 species
UGAGUAGAUCAGACGGUCGCGCGUCCAAGUGCCGAAAGGCCGGGCGUGAGGAAAGUCCGAGCUCCGCAGGGCAGGAUGCUGGAUAACGUCCAGUGGGGGUGACCCUAAGGAAAGUGCAACAGAAAUAUACCGCCGAGCAAUCGGUAAGGGUGGAAAGGCGAGGUAAGAGCUCACCGCUUCUCUGGUGACAGGGAAGGCUCUGUAAACCCCAUCCGGAGCAAGACCGAAUAGAGAGCAAUACGGUGGCCCGCCGUGCUUUCGGGUAGGUCGCUAAAGCUAUGUGGCAACAUGUAGAUCAGAUAGAUGACCGUUCAAUGACAGAACUCGGCUUAUCGAUCUACUCAUGGU